rnacentral:rRNA from 1 species
GACGGGGCAUGCAAGCGUUAUCCGGAAUCACUGGGCGUAAAGCGUCUGUAGGUGGUGAUGCAAGUCACUGGUGCAAAACUCUGGCUCAACCGGAGGAAAGCCAGUGAAACUGCAUGACUAGAGUGUGGGAGAGGUAGAAGGAAGUCCCUGAGUAGCGGUGAAAUGCGUAGAUACAGGGAAGAACACCGGAGGCGAAAGCGGUCUACUGGAACACAACUGACACUGAGAGACGAAAGCUAGGGGAGCGAAUGGG